AUAGUUAAAAUAUGCUUUAUUUGUACAGUUACGUAGCCAGUAACAUUACUGUUGAUUGCUUUGCUUGAUGUUUUUAAUUCUGAAGUGAUUUUUGCAAGCCAAGUUUCAGCACAUUGUCAUUAGCUUUUUGAGUAAAAGCUUUUUGGACGGAAUGUCUUUAUCUCUCUAGGAGGUGGGGUGAUUCAAUCGGAUUUUAAUCCAACCCUGAGCGCAUGUUUUCUCCCCUUUCCAGUAAAAUAGCAGGCGAGAUAAACUGAUGUUUGGCCUAACGUUAACGUUACCUGUUUUUUUUACACUGAACUUCUGGUAUAGUUUGAGUCUUUUGUUAAUAUUUUGACAUAUAUUCUCCACCUCCCCAUGUAAUGUUGUUUCAGAUAAUUUUCAUAUCAUAUUAAAUCUUAAAAUACUGCGCGCGCGUGUGUUCUGUUGUGUGUGUGUUAUUUUGCAGCUUACAGCUCAUUCAAGUGCCACUGGUCUUGCAGUAUUUCAUCUUUUCCAAACAACCGAGUAAAUUUACAGCUCAUUCAAGUGCCACUGGUCUGUUUUUGGAGAAUUUCAUCUUUAAGGUGCUGUGAGAAAGAGCCAUGUCUCCUGUGCCGCCACUGACAUUACAAAACACGUAAUACGGUGGUUCAACUUGGCAGCAGAUAGGGGAAACUCAAGGAGCCGUCCCACUGUCAGCACCCAACAGUAGCGUUUCGGUGUUUCACAGUUAACUUCUGUGUUUUGAAGUGUUCGUUUAACAGUUAAGUAGUAACAGUUGAGAUAAAGUUUACUACUUUAAAUAGUUUUGUUUCUAUUCAUCUUCAAAAAACCCAGUUUCCACACAAAAAAAUAAGAAGUGCAACAUUAAUAAGAAUAAAUGUUUCUUGAGCUACAUUAAAAAAGUGUUCUUUUUCAUUAAAUAAAAAAUGUUCUUUGGACAAUUUAUGGUUGCAUUUCAUUUUCUGUAAUACCUAUUAAUUGUAUACAUAAAUAAUUGUUACUGGCUAAAAUGGCUGAAUUUUGAUUUACAAGUUUUGAAUGAUUUCAUCAUGUUUUAUUAAUAAAGGCAGGCAUAUUAAAUAUUACAGAG